CCUACGGGAGGCUGCAGUGGGGAAUAUUGCACAAUGGGGGAAACCCUGAUGCAGCGACGCCGCGUGAAGGAAGAAGUCUUUCGGUAUGUAAACUUCUAUCAGCAGGGAAGAAAAUGACGGUACCUGACUCAGCAGCCCCGGCUAACUACGUGCCAGCAGCCGCGGUCAUACGGAGGGGGCAAGCGUUAUCCGGAUUUACUGGGUGUAACGGGAGCGUAGGCGGUGAUGCAAGUCAGAAGUGAAAGCCCGCAGCUCAACUGCGGGACUGCUUUUGAAACUGUAGGACUAGAUUGCAGGAGAGGUAAGUGGAAUUCCUGGUGUAGCGGUGAAAUGCGUAGAUAUUAGGAGGAACACCAGUGGCGAAGGCGGCUUACUGGACUGUAAAUGACGCUGAGGCUCGAAAGCGUGGGGAGCAAACAGGAUUAGAUACCCUUGUAGUC
rnacentral:rRNA from 1 species